rnacentral:rRNA from 1 species
GAUGAACGCUGGCGGCGUGCCUAAUACAUGCAAGUCGAGCGAACAGACGAGGAGCUUGCUCCUCUGACGUUAGCGGCGGACGGGUGAGUAACACGUGGAUAACCUACCUAUAAGACUGGGAUAACUUCGGGAAACCGGAGCUAAUACCGGAUAAUAUAUUGAACCGCAGUGUUCAAUAGUGAAAGACGGUUUUGCUGUCACUUCUAGAUGGAUCCGCGCCGCAUUAGCUAGUUGGUAAGGUAACGGCUUACCAAGGCAACGAUGCGUAGCCGACCUGAGAGGGUGAUCGGCCACACUGGAACUGAGACACGGUCCGGACUCCUACGGGAGGCAGCAGUAGGGAAUCUUCCGCAGUGGGCGAAAGCCUGACGGAGCAACGCCGCGUGAGUGAUGAAGGUCUUCGGAUCGUAAAACUCUGUUAUUAGGGAAGAACAAAUGUGUAAGUAACUAUGCACGUCUUGACGGUACCUAAUCAGAAAGCCACGGCUAACUACGUG